rnacentral:rRNA from 1 species
CUAAACCUACGGGGGGCAGCAGUGAGGAAUAUUGGUCAAUGGGCGGAAGCCUGAACCAGCCAAGUCGCGUGAGGGAAUAAGGCCCUACGGGUCGUAAACCUCUUUUGCCGGGGAGCAGGGGCCGGGACGCGUCCCGGCCCGGAGAGUACCCGGAGAAAAAGCAUCGGCUAACUCCGUGCCAGCAGCCGCGGUAAUACGGAGGAUGCGAGCGUUAUCCGGCUUUAUUGGGUUUAAAGGGUGCGUAGGCGGGCUUUUAAGUCAGCGGUAAAAAUUCGGGGCCCACCCCCGUCCGGCCGUU